rnacentral:rRNA from 1 species
GAGUUUGAUCCUGGCUCAGAUUGAACGCUGGCGGCAGGCCUAACACAUGCAAGUCGAGCGGUAACAGAUCCAGCUUGCUGGAUGCUGACGAGCGGCGGACGGGUGAGUAAUGCAUAGGAAUCUGCCCGAUAGUGGGGGAUAACCUGGGGAAACCCAGGCUAAUACCGCAUACGUCCUACGGGAGAAAGGGGGCUCCGGCUCCCGCUAUGGGAUGAGCCUAUGUCGGAUUAGCUAGUUGGUGAGGUAACGGCUCACCAAGGCCACGAUCCGUAGCUGGUCUGAGAGGAUGAUCAGCCACAUCGGGACUGAGACACGGCCCGAACUCCUACGGGAGGCAGCAGUGGGGAAUAUUGGACAAUGGGGGAAACCCUGAUCCAGCCAUGCCGCGUGUGUGAAGAAGGCCCUCGGGUUGUAAAGCACUUUCAGCGAGGAAGAACGCCUAGCGGUUAAUACCCGCUAGGAAAGACAUCACUCGCAGAAGAAGCACCGGCUAACUCCGUGCCAGCAGCCGCGGUAAUACGGAGGGUGCAAGCGUUAAUCGGAAUUACUGGGCGUAAAGCGCGCGUAGGUGGCUUGAUAAGCCGGUUGUGAAAGCCCCGGGCUCAACCUGGGAACGGCAUCCGGAACUGUCAAGCUAGAGUGCAGGAGAGGAAGGUAGGAUUCCCGGUGUAGCGGUGAAAUGCGUAGAGAUCGGGAGGAAUACCAGUGGCGAAGGCGGCCUUCUGGACUGACACUGACACUGAGGUGCGAAAGCGUGGGUAGCAAACAGGAUUAGAUACCCUGGUAGUCCACGCCGUAAACGAUGUCGACCAGCCGUUGGGUGCCUAGCGCACUUUGUGGCGAAGUUAACGCGAUAAGUCGACCGCCUGGGGAGUACGGCCGCAAGGUUAAAACUCAAAUGAAUUGACGGGGGCCCGCACAAGCGGUGGAGCAUGUGGUUUAAUUCGAUGCAACGCGAAGAACCUUACCUACUCUUGACAUCCUGCGAAUUUGGUAGAGAUACCUUAGUGCCUUCGGGAACGCAGAGACAGGUGCUGCAUGGCUGUCGUCAGCUCGUGUUGUGAAAUGUUGGGUUAAGUCCCGUAACGAGCGCAACCCU